AACGAACGCCGGCGGCAUGCUUAACACAUGCAAGUCGAAUGAUGGCUUCGGCCAUAGUGGCGGACGGGUGAGUAGCGCGUGGGAACCUGCCCCGAGGUACGGAAUAACCGCUGGAAACGGCGGCUAAUACCGUAUGAGCCCUGAGGGGGAAAGAUUUAUCGCCUUGGGAGGGGCCCGCGUCCGAUUAGGUAGUUGGUGAGGUAAAGGCUCACCAAGCCUGCGAUCGGUAGCUGGUCUGAGAGGAUGAUCAGCCACACUGGGACUGAGACACGGCCCAGACUCCUACGGGAGGCAGCAGUGGGGAAUAUUGGACAAUGGGGGGCAACCCUGAUCCAGCAAUGCCGCGUGAGUGAUGAAGGCCUUCGGGUUGUAAAGCUCUUUCACCCUCGACGAUGAUGACGGUAGUGGGAGAAGAAGCCCCGGCUAACUUCGUGCCAGCAGCCGCGGUAAU
rnacentral:rRNA from 1 species